UUAGCCCUAAACCUAGAUAUUUAUAUACAAAAAUAUCCGCCAGAGAAUUACGAGCGAAAACGCUUAAAACUCUAAGGACUUGGCGGUACCUCAAACCCACCUAGAGGAGCCUGUUCUAUAAUCGAUAACCCACGAUUCACCUCACCAUCUCUUGCCAACCAGCCUAUAUACCACCGUCACCAGCUUACCCUAUGAAGGAUACAAAAGUAAGCAAAACAAUAUUAACCAUUAACAAGUCAGGUCAAGGUGUAGCUAAUUGAAAUGGAAGAAAUGGGCUACAUUUUCUAUACUAGAAAUAACACUCACGGAAAGGAACCAUGAAACAGUCCAGCAAGUAGGAUUUAGCAGUAAACUGGGAACAGAGAGCCCAAUUUAAACCGGUCCUGAGGUGCGC
rnacentral:rRNA from 2 species